UUUGUCCAACAUGAUGCAUUUUGGGGGUUACAUCCAGAAGGUAACAGAGCGGAAAAGUGGGAAGAGGCAGACUGAGCGGGAAAAGAAGAAGAAGAUUCUGGCUGAGAGGAGGAAGGUGCUGGCCAUUGACCACCUGAAUGAAGAUCAGCUGAGGAGAAGGCCAAGGAGCUGUGGCAGAGCAUCUAUAACUUGGAGGCAGAGAAGUUCGACCUGCAGGAGAAGUUCAAGCAGCAGAAAUAUGAAUCAAUGUUCUCCGAAACAGGAUCAACGAUAACCAGAAAGUGUAAGUGUCU
rnacentral:lncRNA from 1 species